AUAGGACAAGCAAUGUCGACGGUA
rnacentral:siRNA from 1 species